rnacentral:rRNA from 1 species
AGUGAACGCUGGCGGCAGGCCUAACACAUGCAAGUCGAACGGCAGCACAGUAAGAGUUUGCUCCUACGGGUGGCGAGGGGCGGACGGGUGAGGAAUGCAUCGGAUUCUUCUUUUUCGUGGGUGACAACGGGGGGAAACAGAUGCUACUAGCGAAUACGUCCAACGGGUGAAAGCAGGGGUUCUCGGGACUUUGGCUGUCUGAUUGAGCUGAUGUCGGAUUAGCUAGUUGGUGGGGUAAAGGCCCACCAAGGCAACGAUCCGUAGCUGGUCUGAGAGGAUGAUCAGCCACACUGGAACUGAGACACGGUCCAGACUCCUACGGGAGGCAGCAGUGGGGAAUAUUGGACAAUGGGCGCAAGCCUGAUCCAGCAAUGCCGCGUGGGUGAAGAAGGCCUUCGGGUUGUAAAACUCUUUUGUUAGGAAAGAAAAGCAGCUGGUUAAUACCCGGCUGUUCUGACGGUACCGAAAGAACAAGCACCGGCUAACUACGUG